rnacentral:lncRNA from 9 species
UACAUAAUUAUUGGUUCAACAUUUUUCUUACUUAAACUUCUUGCCACAGCUUCUUCAGUGCCAGCUCUCCCAGCCAUCGCCACGAGGUGCACUCCAGAAGCCUGCAGCAGCUGGGGAUCUGAUGCCAGGGCCUGCAGAGUUCAGAUCACAACCUUGCUGCCCCAUGGGCCUGUGGGGUGGGGGGCAGGGGAGUGCAGGAAGCCUCUUUGGGGACACCUGGCUGACUGGCCCACAGCUGGGUGUCAGCAAGAGUGGACGCCGCAGAGCCAGGCAUGCAUGACUCGGAGGAAGUGCUGGAUUUCUGCUCCAGGCUGCCUUGGCAAAGAGGUGGUCAUGGCCCAGGAGCUACAACCUGAAGUCUCUGGGCACACAGCAGCUUCAGGAGGCCCAGGAGCAGGAGCUGCAGUGAUGCCAGGGAGCAGAAAUGGCUGCAGCCCAACUCACAGCAGCUGCAGCAUCUCAAGCACCUGGAAUCCUUGCAUGUCUCCAACCUUCUCUUGAUUGCUGAGACAAUCAUGUAAGGACAGGUCCUCAGAGGGCUACUCUUCUUAUUAAACUUUUGGGAGCUUUAACGCAAAAUACUUGGCUUCCUUGGAGGCUGGCCUGCUCCUUUCAGUGUGGCUCUUGAGCUGCAUGUCACCUCAGUUGGUAGUAGUUGUGGAGACAUAUGCUGCAGUUGCUGGCUUCCACAGUCCUGGCCCCUCCCUUGGAGACACCCUGAGACCCGCUUUGUUGCCUGUGCAUUGCAGAUGCUCAAAAAUCUUUCCCUAGGGUAAGAUCAGGUCCAUGCUUGGCCCCACCCAGCCCUCAGUAUCCUUAACUAUAUGAUGCCAGAUGGUAGUUAAUACUAUAUACUUAUUUUGUAACUCACAGAGCACUUAAAGACAUCGGAGAGAUUAUAACCUCCUUUGCACAUGAGGAAAUGAAGGCAAAUGAAGGUUUGGUGAUUAAGUAACCUGAUCAAAGAUAGAUGGAAUUGCAGUAAACGUUGAAGCACAUGUAUCUUUUCGAGUCAUGGUUUUCUCUGGAUGUUUGCUGAGGAGUGGGAUUGCUGGAUCAAAUGGUAAUUCUAUUUUUAAUUUUUUGAGGACUCUCCAUACUGUUUUCCACAGUGGUGCACCAAUGUGCAGUAGUGUAAUUGGGUUCCCUUUUCUCCACACCCUCUCCAGCACUCAUUGUUUGCAGACAUUUUGAUGAUGGCCAUUCUGGCAGAUGUAAGGUAUUUGUUU